rnacentral:rRNA from 1 species
GGGCUUGACAUCCCACGAACCUGCCCGAAAAGGUGGGGUGCCCGCAAGGGAGCGUGGAGACAGGUGGUGCAUGGCUGUCGUCAGCUCGUGUCGUGAGAUGUUGGGUUAAGUCCCGCAACGAGCGCAACCCUCACCCCUAGUUGCCACCGGGUUAAGCCGAGCACUCAAGGGGAACUGCCAGCGUCAAGCUGGAGGAAGGCGGGGAUGACGUCAAGUCAUCAUGCCCCUUACGCCCUGGGCUACACACGUGCUACAACGGCCAGCACAAAGGGACGCGAGACUGCGAAGUGGAGCUAAUCCCAAAAAGCUGGUCUAAGUUCGGAUUGCAGUCUGCAACUCGACCGCAUGAAGGAGGAAUCGCUAGUAAUCGCGCAUCAGCCCGGCGCGGUGAAUACGUUCCCGGGCCUUGUACACACCGCCCGUCACACCACGAAAGCUGUCUGUACUCGAAGUCGCUGAG